rnacentral:rRNA from 1 species
GCUCCAACCUUGCGGAAGGAGCGCAUUUAUUAAAACAAAACCAAUCGUUCUUGCCAGUUGUUUGGUGAAUCUGAGUAACUCGACUCAUCCCAUGUCCCUGCCUCGGCAACGUUUCUUGCAAGUGUGUGCUUUAUCAACUUUCGAUGUUAGUUUAUGUGACUACCAUGGUUGUGACGAAUAACGGAGAAUUAGGGUUUGACUCGGAAUAGGGAACCGGAUAAACGCCUACCACGUCCAAGGAAGGCAGCAGGGGCGCAAAUCACCCUCUCUCGUCUUCAUGAGGCAGGUAAGACGAAAAUUAACGAGUCCGUUGCGUCAUUGAGGUCAGUCAUCUGAGUGGGUCCAACCCUCUCCCUUUAAUCGUGGAUCUAUUGGAGGGCACGUCUGGUGCCAGCAGCCGCGGUAAUUCCAGCUCCAAUAGCGUAUAUUAAAGUUGCUGUGGUUAAAAAGUUGUAGUUGGAUCUUUGGUGUUGUCGGCUGGUGUCCCUCAGGGUAGGAAGGGUCGGCGGACCCGAAAUGCUAGUUUUCCAUGCGUGCUCCUUAGUGGGUGCGUAUGGUGGCUAGCCCGUUUAGUGUGAAAAAAUUAGAGUGCUCAAAGCAGGCAAUUGCCUGAAUAGGUGGUGCAUGGAAUAAUGGAAUAGGUCGUCUGUUAAAAAAGUCGGUUCGGAAGGGGGCGUAAUGAUAAGGCUGGACAGACGGGGGCAUUCGUAUUGCGGCGUUAGAGGUGAAAUUCUUGGAUCGCCGCAAGACGAACAACUGCGAAAGCAUUUGCCAAGAAUGUUUUCAUUAAUCAAGAACGAAAGUUAGAG